UGGGGAAUCUUGGACAAUGGGGGCAACCCUGAUCCAGCCAUGCCGCGUGAGUGAUGAAGGCCUUAGGGUUGUAAAGCUCUUUCGCCUGUGAAGAUAAUGACGGUAGCAGGUAAAGAAACCCCGGCUAACUCCGUGCCAGCAGCCGCGGUAAUACGGAGGGGGUUAGCGUUGUUCGGAAUUACUGGGCGUAAAGCGCACGUAGGCGGACCAGAAAGUUGGGGGUGAAAUCCCGGGGGCUCAACCCCGGAACUGCCUCCAAAACUAUUGGUCUAGAGUUCGAGAGAGGUGAGUGGAAUUCCAAGUGUAGAGGUGAAAUUCGUAGAUAUUUGGAGGAACACCAGUGGCGAAGGCGGCUCACUGGCUCGAUACUGACGCUGAGGUGCGAAAGUGUGGGGAGCAAACAGGAUUAGAUACCCUGGGUAGUCCACACCGUAAAACGAUGAAUGCCAGUCGUCGGGUAGCAUGCUAUUCGGUGACACACCUAACGGAUUAAGCAUUCC
rnacentral:rRNA from 1 species